ACCUGCACAAUACAAAUUGGGUGCAACUGCUCGGUUGCAGGCUUGCAACCUGCUACCGUAUCGUAGGACCUUAAAAACUAUAUCCUUCCUCAUAUGUGCCCUCUCAAUGCAUACCAUCAACAAGAAUAUGACAUUAGCUCAUCAAUGAUCUACCAUCUCUAGACUACUUACACAUCAAAACACAUAAUUUUUGGUGCAGCCCCCAUCAUUUGGUCAGAACUGAACGGAUCCAUUUUCAAAUCCAAUUAACCAGGUUCUAGUCCACCUACAUAUACGUUGAGAGGUGGCUUUAUUCUUGUACUCCAUCCUCAUCUCUUUGUUCUUCUUCAGUUUCAUACUUUCACCAAGAUCCGUCACGAUAGUGUCCAUACCUAUGGCUGCAUCCGUUACUACAGCGAAUCCAAAAAUUAAAAAAAAUGAUGCAUUCACCCAAUCAUUGCAGUUAGAAAGAAAUAAUCUUAAUUACACUCUGUCCUUAAAAAUGAAGGAGGUAGAUUGAAUUAAAAACUGGCAAGGGAUGGGAACAGACAAGAGUAUACAAAGGUGAGCUGUACAAAAUCAUCUAAGGGAUUGGGCUUGAGUUGAUCAGAAAUUUCACAAAGAACAUUGCAGGCUGAUUAGCUGAGCACCACCAGCGACUGAAUUUUGUGAAGGAUGUCGAUGAGUUUGUUAAUCUAGCAUCAGCUGAGUUGCUCUUAUAGCGGAGAAGCAUUCUGAACUCUGUCCUUUGCCAUACGUGCCUGAGGAAGAAAAGCACAACAAACCGAUGAGGAAAAAUGUUAAGAUGAGGAGCCGAAAAAAAAAAGUUCUUCCUUCUUUUCCCCUGGCGUGCUAGAAAAUACAGAUUUGGAUGGCUGUAGUUCCAUAUCUUAUCUUUGGUUCACAAACAUUCCUUUCUAAUAUUUGUUGACUCAAAUAGGGAAACAUUGAUGGAAUAUCUGAGAUAUGAUAUAGAAAACUUGCAGUAAACACCUGAGUUAACCUUAUUAAUGUCGACUAACCAAUAAGGGUGAGUAAGGAACCUUCAAGAUGACUCUAAAUGGCUCGAAAAGGUUUGAUGGUUACAGUUCGAAUGAAACUUAACUCAAAUUGCACGGCUAACUAUUAUAAGCAGAGGAACAUCUAUGUCUUAACCUGUUCAGGUCAUUACCUAUUGAGAAAAUGUUAUAAUGUGUGUGUGUAUGCAAGCAUGCAUGCAUAUGACAUCAGUAGGCAGCUGAUUAUUCUCUAAGGAUCCCUACUGUUCUAGACAAGGCAUCAAAUUAUAAUUUGAAUGAUCUCAGAAUUAGAUACGAGAAAAAAACUACUGAGAGAAGGAAGGUGGGGGGGAGGGAGGGAGGGGG
rnacentral:lncRNA from 1 species